rnacentral:tRNA from 1 species
GGCGCUUUAGCUCAGCUGGUUAGAGCGACGGAAUCAUAAUCCGCAGGUCCGGGGUUCAAAUCCCUUAAGCGCCC